rnacentral:rRNA from 1 species
GUGAGGAAUAUUGGUCAAUGGACGAGAGUCUGAACCAGCCAAGUCGCGUGAAGGAAGACGGUUCUAUGAAUUGUAAACUUCUUUUGCAGGGGAAUAAAGUGCAGGACGUGUCCUGUUUUGUAUGUACCCUGAGAAUAAGGAUCGGCUAACUCCGUGCCAGCAGCCGCGGUAAUACGGAGGAUCCGAGCGUUAUCCGGAUUUAUUGGGUUUAAAGGGUGCGUAGGUGGUUUGAUAAGUCAGCGGUGAAAGUUUGCAGCUUAACUGUAAAAAUGCCGUUGAAACUGUCGGACUUGAGUGUAAAUGAGGUAGGCGGAAUGCGUGGUGUAGCGGUGAAAUGCAUAGAUAUCACGCAGAACUCCGAUUGCGAAGGCAGCUUACUAAGCUACAACUGACACUGAAGCACGAAAGCGUGGGGAUCAAACAGGAUUAGAUACCCUGGUAGUCC